AGAGUUUGAUCCUGGCUCAGAUUGAACGCUGGCGGCAUGCCUAACACAUGCAAGUCGAACGGGGGUAGCAAUACCCUAGUGGCGGACGGGUGAGGAACGCGUAGGAAUUGGCCCACGAGUGGGGGACAACCUGGGGAAACCCAGGCUAAUACCGCAUACGCUCGCGAGAGGAAAGCGGGGGAUCUACGGACCUCGCGCUGGUGGACAAGCCUACGUCCGAUUAGCUAGUUGGCAGGGUAAAAGCCUACCAAGGCGACGAUCGGUAGCUGGUCUGAAAGGAUGAUCAGCCACACUGGGACUGAGACACGGCCCAGACUCCUACGGGAGGCAGCAGUGGGGAAUAUUGGACAAUGGGCGCAAGCCUGAUCCAGCAAUGCCGCGUGGGUGAAGACGGCCUGCGGGUUGUAAAGCCCUUUAAGCGGGGAGGAACGCCGGAACGCGAAUACCGUUUCGGACUGACGUUACCCGCAGAAUAAGCACCGGCUAACUCCGUG
rnacentral:rRNA from 1 species